GUAGGUUGCAAGCGUUGUCCGGAUUUAUUGGGUGUAAAGGGUGCGUAGACGGGAAGUCAAGUUAGUUGUGAAAUCCCUCGGCUUAACUGAGGAACUGCAACUAAAACUAACUUUCUUGAGUGCUGGAGAGGAAAGUGGAAUUCCUAGUGUAGCGGUGAAAUGCGUAGAUAUUAGGAGGAACACCAGUGGCGAAGGCGACUUUCUGGACAGUAACUGACGUUGAGGCACGAAAGUGUGGGGAGC
rnacentral:rRNA from 1 species